rnacentral:lncRNA from 1 species
ACAGGUAUAAGCUGUUAGCUAGAGCAAUUUCAGCAGUUGGGAGGUGAGCAUAUCAACCCACAAGGUUGUCUGAGAGGGACAACAACUUCUGCUGUUAGUUUACUUUUGGGUAUAAACGUGAACUUUGAGGAAAGAGUUAAAUUCAAUUAAAAACAAAUUCGUUGAGUGUCUACUAUGUGCAAAACAAUAUGUUGUGGCAAAAGGGGGACGCAAUGUGAAAGAUCUGUUGCCCUCGAGAAGAAACGACCCUGCAUAUCAGCAAGGUAUCUUUUCCUGAAGCCGGUCUUCAUUAACAGGCUUGGUCUUUCUCCCAGUGGAGAAAUCACUUGGGCCACUUCUGCAUCUAGAGUGUCAGACCCAAGCUAGGAAAAAGAAUCAUCUUUAAAAGUAUGUCAUCAGCACUCAAGACCUUUAAUGAGCCAGCGGAAUUGGUCUCCUGGUCCUCUCCUCACUCCACAGAGACUGAAAACGUGUCUACCCAGUGUACAGCAAACUAUUUCUGUAGGCUGCCCGCAGUUGACAUCCUCCAUUCUGACCCUCGCCAAGCAUUUCAGAAAAGGUAGACAGGCCUGCAGAGAAAGCAGAUGGCUCAUCGCACAUCACACAGAACCAGACAGAGGACGAGAGUCCGCAUGCUGAACCACUUAAAUUCACAUGGCGGCUAAGAAGACAAGAGUUUCGGCAGGCAUAGAGGCUAAGAGAGUUAAGAGCAUCCUCCGUGCCUAGUACAGUCCCCAGCUGCAUCAUAAACAGAUGAAAUGAAAAAGUUUUUUCUCCCAAUCAAGCCAGCAGGAGAGCAAGGGUCUGUGGUACCUGGGGACAAUGCACCAUGCUUACACCCUCUCUAGCCACAUGUAUGCUACUGCGGAAUUGGCAAAGACAGAGUGCAACCCUUUUUAGUCAUCAACCUGGGGGAGAGAUCUCUUCUGCACAUAAAAGUAUCCCCACAGCAUUGUGAUCACACUGGAGAAAGUGGACGGGAUAAAGAGAAGGAAGGACGUUUUGUUGAGUGCCUUCUAUGUGCUGUUCGCUCUGCUGAGCUUCAAGUUUCUCAAAUAUAAAUGGGGGAGAGGCUGGGCGCGGUGGCUUACGCCUGUAAUUCCAGAACUUUUGGAGGCCAAGGCGAGCAGA